CCUACGGGGCGCAGCAGUGAGGAAUAUUGGUCAAUGGACGGAAGUCUGAACCAGCCAUGCCGCGUGCAGGAAGACGGCUCUAUGAGUUGUAAACUGCUUUUGUACAAGGGUAAACCUGAAUACGUGUAUUCAGCUGAAAGUACUGUACGAAUAAGGAUCGGCUAACUCCGUGCCAGCAGCCGCGGUAAUACGGGGGAUGCGAGCGUUAUCCGGAUUUAUUGGGGUUAAAGGGUGCGUAGGCGGAAUAUGAAGUCAUCGGGAAAAAUUCGGGGUUCAAACGCGUCGUGCCGUUGAAACUGAUGUUCUUGAGUGGGCGAGAGGUAUGCGGAAUGCGUGGUGUAGCGGUGAAAUGCAUAGAUAUCACGCAGAACUCCGAUUGCGAAGGCAGCAUACCGGCGCCCAACUGACGCUGAAGCACGAAAGCGUGGGUAUCGAACAGGAUUAGAUACCCCAGUAGUC
rnacentral:rRNA from 1 species